GAAGAAAAAGACCGAGAAUAAUAAGUUCGGUAAUUGACGGUACCUCACAAGCAAGCUCCGGCUAACUUCGUGCCAGCAGCCGCGGUAAUACGAGGGGAGCAAGCGUUGUCCGAAAUAACUGGGCGUAAAGGGUACGUAGGCUUUUUUGUAUGUUUCCGGUGAAAUUCACAGGCUCAACUUGUGACUUGCCGGAAAAACUGCAGAGAUUGAAUCCGGAAGGGGAAAGCGGAAUUCCUGGUGUAGCGGUGAAAUGCGUAGAUAUCAGGAGGAACACCAGUGGCGAAGGCGGCUUUCUGGUCCGGAAUUGACGCUGAGGUACUAAAGCGUGGGUAGCAAACAGGAUUAGAUACCCUGGUAGUCCACGCCCUAAACGAUGGAUACUUGAUGUCGGGAUGUUCGGUCGUCUCGGUGUCGUAGCUAACGUGUUAAGUAUCCCGCCUGGGGACUACGGUCGCAAGACUGAAACUCAAAGGAAUUGACGGGGGCCCGCACCAGCGGUGGAACAUGUGGUUUAAUUCGAUGCAACGCGAAGAACCUUACCUGGGCUUGACAUAUAUAUGAAGUAUGUAAGAAAUUAUGUAUUCUGUCUGCAUUUGCAGGUAGCAUAUAUACAGGUGAUGCAUGGCUGUCGUCAGCUCGUGUCGUGAGAUGUAGGGUUAAGUCCCUUAACGAGCGCAACCCUUGCUUUUAGUUGCCAUCGGGUAAUGCUGGGGACUCUAGAAGGACUGCCGAGGUUAACUCGGAGGAAGGUGGGGAUGACGUCAAGUCAGUAUGUCCCUUAUGUCCAGGGCUACACACGUGUUACAAUGGACGGUACAGAGUGCAGCUACGCCGUGAGGCUACGCAAAUCACUUAAAGCCGUUCCCAGUUCGGAUUGGAGUCUGCAAUUCGACUCCAUGAAGUUGGAAUCGCUAGUAAUCGCAGAACAGCAUGCUGCGGUGAAUACGUUCCCGGGCCUUGUACACACCGCCCGUCACGCCAUGGAAGUUGGGAGUACCCAAAGCUGCUGUCU
rnacentral:rRNA from 1 species